rnacentral:lncRNA from 1 species
CAUGUUCAAUCUUUAGGAGCUAUUAUUUAUAUACUAAAGAAGUCAAUAACAAUGCAAGAUCUAAGUUCACUAGGGUUAAGUGAACUACCUUGAUUGGCCACUUGCAUGUCCUUUGAACUGUUAUCAGACAUCUAUGAUACAUUCUGAUGUAAAACAAAGCAUAUGAAGUUCAAGUAUUCACUGCAACACCUUAAGCUAAAAUCUGUAUAUUACUUCACUAAUUGAUAUUUAUGUAGAUUCUCUUUUUUACAGAGCUACACUUGGAGCAAUAGGAGGAUUUUUAGAUGCCUUCCAGAAAGUGGCCGACAUGGCCACUGGGUCUAGAGGUAAGGUUUUAAAACUGAAUAAUUGGCUAAACCUUCAAUCAUGAAUAGUUCAUCACGCAUAUGUCCUACCUCAUGUGUGAUAAAUCUUAUGUGGCUGCAUAGUUAAAUAUUUUAGACUGUGGUAACGCCUUCUUCAUGUAUGCUUAGUUUACAGAGAACUACAUGUAUACUGCAUGAGAACAAGUGAUGGUUUGUUCUAAAGAAUUCUAAGUCCGUGGAUUGAAUUGUUAAUUAUCUUUGGAGGGUC